GAAAUGCGAUAAGUAAUGUGAAUUGCAGAAUUCAGUGAAUCAUCGAAUCUUUGAACGCACAUUGCGCCCUUUGGUAUUCCGAGGGGCAUGCCCGUUCGAGCGUCAUUAAAUCCACUCAAGCCUGGCUUGGUAUUGGGCGUCGGGGUCUCUCCCGCGCCUCCAUUUCGCCGGCCGGCCGUCGUUAGACAUAGCGUUGUGACACAAGUCGCUAUGAAUGCCGACGGACCGCGCCGUUAAACCCUCUUGAAUAUUUCAUCGAUAUUCAGUAAAAGUUGACCUCGGAUCGGGUAGGAAUACCCGCUGAACUUAA
rnacentral:misc_RNA from 1 species